ACAUCUAAAACCUGCAGGACACCAGCCCUUGAGGUCUGAAGUUAGACACCCCUGGUCUAGAUUAUCCUUAAUCCUGACAUAGGCUUGUGUCUGCUCUGCUGUACCUCAAGAUAUACCACCAGGUGUCAUGGUAGUAUCCAUACUACAUUAAGCCUGAUUUAAGAUGGUGGCUGUCCAGAUACAAUGCAAGCAAGAGUCUAUGAUAUACAUGCUUUUAUAACAGAGGAGAGGAGUCACAGGCCUGUGAUCAUCUGGUAUGUUAAGGUUCAGUACACUACACGCAAAAGUUGCCUCGUUUAAAGAGAAAAAAGUAAGAUGUAAAAGAAGGCAAACGGCAAGGAAGACCAUAAAACCAACCCUGCCAGUGAAAAAUCAGUCACUGAGUCUUACACAGCAGCGAACAAUACAUGACCGACUUUUA
ensembl:lncRNA